rnacentral:rRNA from 1 species
UGGGGAAUAUUGGGCAAUGGGCGCAAGCCUGACCCAGCAAUGCCGCGUGAAGGAAGAAGGCUUUCGGGUUGUAAACUUCUUUGACAGGGGAAGAGUAGAAGACGGUACCCUGAAAACAAGCCACGGCUAACUACGUGCCAGCAGCCGCGGUAAUACGUAGGUGGCAAGCGUUGUCCGGAUUUACUGGGUGUAAAGGGCGUGUAGCCGGGAAGGCAAGUCAGAUGUGAAAUCUGGAGGCUCAACCUCCAAAUUGCAUUUGAAACUGUUUUUCUUGAGUACUGGAGAGGCAGACGGAAUUCCUUGUGUAGCGGUGAAAUGCGUAGAUAUAAGGAGGAACACCAGUGGCGAAGGCGGUCUGCUGGACAGCAACUGACGGUGAGGCGCGAAAGCGUGGGGAGCAAACAGG